rnacentral:lncRNA from 1 species
UCUUAUCUUGCGCACCCCCUCUGAGUCUCUGAAAUAGGAUAGAAGGAAUGAAGCGCAUGCAUCCUACUUUCUUUUUGAGAUAGUCGGAGUGUCAAGGCACCUGGUGAAGGAUUAUAGUCACACAUGUUAGGUGGGGUUCAGAUCGGCAACGAAGGCGGUGUUGCCCUGCUACCGACCAAGUUGUCUCUCCCCGGCAGUAUAACACAGUAUAACAAUAAUUAAAGCAAUUAAAGUCAAUAUCAAAAGCUCGAAUUCUUAUUAUUUCCCCAGCAGAGUCGUCAGAGAUGCCACACCCUUUUUUCGCCCGAUGGUCGAGUCGAAGGAUUUUUUCAGCUAAAGUGACGGCAUUGAAUAGGGAUUACUUUUAUUAUUUUUAGAGUCGCCACUUGGAAUUGAGUUAUGGUGUUCCAAGUCACCUUAUUGAAUCCUUAAUCAAAAGAAAAUGACUCUUUGUUGGUCUGCGAAAAUAGAAGAUUGGGUAAGGAAUUCUGUUGACCGAGGGAAAGGUGUGAGGCACCCCUCGAGUCCCGUGGUACUUAUCUUGACUUAAACUAUUUUGUUAAAAUUAUGUUAAGGCCUAAGUUCGUUCAUUUUUAUUAUAUUAAAACUUGUAUAUUCUUUUAUAUUAAAUAAAUUAAUGAAAAUUUAAAAAAAAAAUUGCAAGAAAAAUAUUUGCCAAAGUUUAUUUUUACAUUCUUGAAUUUUCAAAAGUCUCAAAAAGAUGCGUAUGUCGCAUUCUUAAUUGAGAAGAACAUUUUAAACAUGCCUAAAAAAAAUACUUCGCAUUAAAGACAUUGAUUUGUUAGGUAUAAAUUUAUAACAAUUUUAUCUAUGUGAGACAUUACUUAAUCUAAACAAUGAACUUAAACAAUAUUUAAUUAAAGUAGUCAAUUAGUUUAACAAAUAAUUAAGUUUUAUAAUGAUAAUGAAAAUAAAAUAAAAAAUAAAAAAAUAUUAAUAAUAAUAAUAAUAAUAAAAAUAAUAAAAUAAUAAUAUUGUAAAUAUAUAAAAUUAACUUUUUUUAUUCAAAUAAUUUUAAAUUAAAUUUAAAUAAUCAUUAAAUAAAUUCUUAUCUUUCAACAAGCAUCAUAUAAACUACAAAUAUAUAGAUCGUACACGAGACCCAUUUUUGGUUCAAUAUAACUACGCUAGUGAUUUCUUAAUUAACAAUCUCUUAAUUUACAAUCUCUUAGCAAAUUGUCUAAAAUCCUCCAAAGCUUAAGUCAUGCAAUUACAUUAAUAAACAGUAACCAAUGUGCAGAAAAAAAAAAUAAAAUGGGUGGAUGCCAUGGAAAGUAGAAAAAAAAGUAGAUCUGUCCAUUUAUUUCUUUUCUCUUGUUUUCUUUAUAAUGGAAAUUGGAGAACAACUGUUACACUUUUAUCUUCUUCUUCUUCUUUUUUUUUUUUUUUUUUUUUUUUUUUAUGAAGGUAUGCACAAACAAUAUAAUAUCAAGACAAAGUAAUAGCAUUCACUUAAUCUCAUUUUUUUUGGAAAUAAUUUGACAAUUAUAUACCAAUCCAAGAAAAAUACAAACACAUCUAUGAUUCUAACUCCAUAUCUAUGUAUAAAUAUAAACAAUUCGAUAACUUAAUCAUAUAACAUGUAAUGAUAGAAAAUUCACACAAUUAAUUUACUACACAUAUUAAAUAAAGUAGGAAACCAUUUGAAUAUUUUUAUACAUGCUUUUCCAUAGUAAAAUUUAUAAAGAAAAUGGUACAAGAUUGAAGAACCUGUAAUGAAUUAAAUUCAAUAAUGCCGCAAGAAGCCUUCACCGGAAACUUCAAAUGGAACCCGAAUUCACUUACACCCUUUUCUCUCUUUUGACUGAUAAUUUUCUCUGACUGACUGAUAAUUUUCUCUGACUGACUUUUUUUAUCUGUUUUUCGCUGCUUUCUAAUGUUUCUGAAAAAGUGUCUGAUGAUUUUUUUUUCUGUGUCUGUGUAGGAAUAAUGAAUGUACGUCUGUCUCUCUAAGGGAUGGGAGUCCUUUUUGUAGAGGAAUUUUUUUUUUUGGUGGUGGGGGGAGAAAUGGGGGGAGUAGCUAUAUAUUAGGAUAGGAUAGAAAUUUUGAAUUUUGAAAAUAUAUUAUUAUUAUUAUUAUUAUUAUUAUUAUUAUUAUUAUUAUUAUUAUUAUUAUUAUUAUUAUUAUUAUAUAAUACUAAUAAUAGAUUAUUAUUAUUAUUAUUAUUAUUAUAUAAUACUAAUAAUAGAAGACAAUAAUAAUAAUAAAUAAAAAUAGUAAAUCAAUAAAAUAAAUAUUAAAAUAAUAAUAAUAAUAAAUAUAAUAUUAAUUAAUUAAUUUUUAUAUUUUUUUAAAUUUUUUUUAUUAAUUUAAAAAUUUGAAUAAAAUAAAAUAAAAUAUUUAGUUACAGAGUCGCCAUUUAAAAUUUAGUUAUGGUGUUCUAAGUCACCUUUUUGAAUCCCUAAUCAAAAGAAAAUGACUCUUUCUGUUGGUCUGCGAAAACAGAAGAACGGGUAAGGAAUUCUAUUGACCGAGGGAAAGUUAUGAGGCACCCCUCGAGUCCCGUGGUUCAAGCACGGUCGCUUUUAAUAACUUAUACUAACUAAAACUAUUUUGGAUAAAUUGUGUUAAGAUCUAAAAAUCGCUCAUUUUUGUUAUAUUAAAAACUUAUUUAAAACUCUUGUAUUAAAUAAAUCGGUGAAAAUUAAUUUUAGAAAAAUAUUUCCUAAGGUGUAUUUAUACAUCCUUGUAUCUUUAAAUGUCUAGAACGUAUGCCGCAUUCUUAAUUGAGACAAAUUUUUAAAUAAAUAAAAAUAUUUUAAACGCUUCUAAAAUUUGUCUAACAUUAAAAACUUUAAUUACUCAAAAUGUUAUUUAAUUUUAAAAGUAAACUUAAACAAAAUUCAUUUAAAAAAAUGAUUAAUUAAUCUUAACAAAUAAUUAUUAAACCUUAUUAAUGAUAAUGAAAUAAAACAAACAAAAUAAAAAUAAAAAAAAAAAUAAUAAUAAUAAUAAAAUAAUAUAAAUACAUAAAGGUAAUCAUAUUAAUUCUAACUUUAAUUAUAAACCCCAAAUUUCAUUCUUCAAUUAAUGCCCCAAAAAAUCACUUAAAAGAAGCCUUUUCUUGAAUAAGUACAGAUAAACACCAAACUAAAAAAAUCAAUGUUAUUAGCGACUGUUUUUCACUGGCCAAGGUUGGCCAGAGUUCAUGGACGAAAAGGAGUAUUUGCCGGAGGAUCACACGUGGCUGGCGGCGGCGUGGGCUGACGGGAAAGGAGGGAAAAGAGUGAUAUGAUUUUCCGGCUAGUGGCGGCGACAGAAAAGGGAAAGGGAGCGGAUGGCGCCGGCCAGAUCUGGUGAUGCCGAAGCGUCUAGUGGUAUCGCCGGGGAUUAUGGGUCGUCAGUUGGAGGUAUUUUACUGGCCAAUGAUGGCUGGCAUAAGCGGGAUGGGGCGGCAACCAUGGGGGUUCGUCGGUGGUUUAUGGUUCCGUCCAGAUCUCGUGAAAAAGAAGUGAGGUGACGGAGGCAUUAAGCUUCGCCCACGGGUUGGUGACGGACGACGACUACAGCGGAUCGUAACCUUGAGGGGGAUUUCGACGAUGUGGGAAAAUGGGGGAGGGAGAAGAUGACAACGUUGCCGUCUCACCGAUGGAAGGCGGAACAGAGUGAUCGUAACGACUCCGGCAAGAACCAACCAGAGUCAACUCGAAAAUGAAUCAGUUUUUGGUGAUUUUUUUUCUUAUUUCUGAUCUGAUUUUGUCUACUAUGUAUAUGAAUUUGAAUCUAUGUAUUAACAGAUGAAUAUAUAUGCAUAUAACAGUGUAUAGAAUGAUAACAGUGUCUAUUUUCUGUUUUCUGCUAUUUUCUUUUCGUUUAAUUUAAAUCAUAUAGUAUCAACGUACAGUGUUUUCAAUCACAUAACACAUAGUAAUAAAGAUUCACUAAAUCAAUUAACCAUCCAUAAUGCAUGAAAUCACUUAAUAUUUUCAUUCAUACUUUUCAUCUGUAAACUUUAUAACAUAAGAUGAUUCAAGUUCGAAUAAGAACCUGUGAUGAUUCAAACGGCAUAAGAAGCAAGAAGUAAUUAUCACCGGAAAUCUCGAACGAAAAUUCUAAAACUUCUAACUUUCUUUCUUUGUUUUACUCUCUCCUCUUGAUCUCUUUUUUACUCUGUAUUUUUUUCUCUGCUUUUUUUUUACUGUCUGAUAUAGUGUAGAAUUUACGUUAAGGGUAAAGAAGAGUCCUUAAAUACAGGACUUUGGGGGAAAGUUGGGUGGGAGCAGUUACAGACAAGGGAA